CAAGCAGGAUACCCUAAAUCAUUCUGGAUAAAUAUGUCUAAUCUUUUCUUAAAACUUCCAGUGAUGGAGCACUGACACCUUCUGAAGGCAGACGUUCCACUGGUUAAUUGCAUACGUCUAUUCUUAGAUCAG